ACCUCAAGUCAAGUGAGAAUACCCGCUGAACUUAAGCAUAUCAAUAAGCGGAGGAAAAGAAACUAACAAGGAUUCCCUCAGUAACGGCGAGUGAACCGGGAAAAGCUCAAAUUUAAAAUCGCUUGGGUUUACCUGAGUGAGUUGUAAUUUGAAGAAAGUGUUUCGACUUUUCGGGUUUGAUCCAAAUCCUUUGGGAUGAGGUAUCAUAGAGGGUGAGAAUCCCGUUCAUGAUUGAACCUGAGUUGUCAAUGAUUCAUUCUCUAAGAGUCGAGUUGUUUGGGAUUGCAGCUCAAAAUGGGUGGUAAAUUUCACCUAAGGCUAAAUAUCUGCAAGAGACCGAUAGCGAACAAGUACCGUGAGGGAAAGAUGAAAAGAACUUUGAAAAGAGAGUUAAAAAGUACGUGAAAUUGUUGAAAGGGAAACGAUUGAAGUCAGUCAUGCUAGCGAGGAAUCAACUUGGUGGUGUGAGUCUCUCAUCUCCUCCGUGUGCACUUCCUCGUCUGGCAGGUUAGCAUCAAUUUUGAUUGUCAUCAAAUAAUUGGGGUAAUGUGGCUUCGCUUCGGUGGAGUGUUAUAGACCCUGGUGGAUGUGGCGAUUGGGAUUGAGGAUUGCAGCGGAUGCCUCUUGGCUAGUCACCUGGCUUCUGGCGGUCACCUCGCUUUUGACAGCUUGCUGAUGAUCGUGGGACCCGACAGUCUAGAAGUUAGAGUGAUCUUAAAUUCGCUAAGGAUGCUGACGUAAUGGCUUUAAACGACCCGUCUUGAAACACGGACCA
rnacentral:rRNA from 1 species